UACGUAGGGUGCAAGCGUUGUCCGGAAUUAUUGGGCGUAAAGCGCUCGUAGGCGGUCAGCACAAUUCAGUUGUGAAAUCUCCGGGCUUAACUCGGAAAGGUCAACUGAUACUGUGCGACUAGAGUGCGGAAGGGGCAACUGGAAUUCUCGGUGUAGCGGUGAAAUGCGUAGAUAUCGAGAGGAACACCUGCGGCGAAGGCGGGUUGCUGGGCCGACACUGACGCUGAUGCGCGAAAGCCAGGGGAGCGAACGGG
rnacentral:rRNA from 1 species